rnacentral:rRNA from 1 species
AUUGAACGCUGGCGGAAUGCUUUACACAUGCAAGUCGAGCGGCAGCGCGGGGGCAACCCUGGCGGCGAGCGGCGAACGGGUGAGUAGUGUAUCGGAACGUGCCCAGUCGUGGGGGAUAACGUAGCGAAAGCUACGCUAAUACCGCAUACGAUCUAUGGAUGAAAGCGGGGGACCGUAAGGCCUCGCGCGAUUGGAGCGGCCGAUAUCAGAUUAGGUAGUUGGUGGGGUAAAGGCCUACCAAGCCGACGAUCUGUAGCUGGUCUGAGAGGACGACCAGCCACACUGGGACUGAGACACGGCCCAGACUCCUACGGGAGGCAGCAGUGGGGAAUUUUGGACAAUGGGCGCAAGCCUGAUCCAGCCAUGCCGCGUGCAGGAUGAAGGCCUUCGGGUUGUAAACUGCUUUUGUACGGAACGAAAAGACUCUGGUUAAUACCUGGGGUCCAUGACGGUACCGUAAGAAUAAGCACCGGCUAACUACGUG